rnacentral:rRNA from 1 species
CUAGUAAUCGCGGAUCAGCAUGCCGCGGUGAAUACGUUCCCGGGCCUUGUACACACCGCCCGUCACACCAUGAGAGUCGGGAACACCCGAAGUCCGUAGUCUAACCGCAAGGAGGGCGCGGCCGAAGGUGGGUUCGAUAAUUGGGGUGAAGUCGUAACAAGGUAAC